rnacentral:rRNA from 1 species
CGGAUUGUAGGCUGAAACUCGCCUACAUGAAGCUGGAGUUACUAGUAAUCGCAGAUCAGAAUGCUGCGGUGAAUGCGUUCCCGGGUCUUGUACACACCGCCCGUCACACCACGGAAGUUGGGGGCGCCCGGAGCCACUUAGCUAACCCUUUUGGGAAGCGAGUGUCGAAGGUGAAAUCAAUAACUGGGGUGAAGUCGUAACAAGGUACC